rnacentral:rRNA from 1 species
UACGGGGGGGCAAGCGUUGUUCGGAAUUCCUGGGCGUAAAGGGUUUGUAGGUGGCUGAUUAAGUCAGACGUGAAAUCCCUCAGCUUAACUGGGGAACUGCGUCUGAUACUGGUUAGCUUGAGUGCAGGAGAGGAACGCGGAAUUCCAGGUGUAGCGGUGAAAUGCGUAGAUAUCUGGAGGAACACCGGUGGCGAAGGCGGCGUUCUGGACUGCAACUGACACUGAAAAACGAAAGCCAGGGGAGCAAACGGG